UACGUAGGGUGCAGGCGUUAAUCGGAAUUACUGGGCGUAAAGCGUGCGCAGGCGGUUUGCUAAGACAGGUGUGAAAUCCCCGGGCUUAACCUGGGAACUGCGCUUGUAACUGGCAAGCUAGAGUGUGGCAGAGGGGGGUGGAAUUCCAGGUGUAGCAGUGAAAUGCGUAGAUAUGCGGAGGAACACCGAUGGCGAAGGCAAUCCCCUGGACCUGUACUGACGCUCAUGCACGAAAGCGUGGGGAGCAAACAGG
rnacentral:rRNA from 1 species